UACGGAGGGUGCAAGCGUUGUCCGGAUUUAUUGGGUCUAAAGGGUGCGUAGGCGGCCCGGUAAGUCAGUGGUGAAAGCCUCCAGCUCAACUGGAGAACUGCCAUUGAUACUGCCGGGCUUGAGUACAGACGAGGUUGGCGGAAUUGAUUGUGUAGCGGUGAAAUGCAUAGAUACAAUCAAGAACUCCGAUUGCGUAGGCAGCUAACUAGGCUGUAACUGACGCUGAGGCACGAAAGCGUGGGGAGCGAACAGG
rnacentral:rRNA from 1 species